rnacentral:tRNA from 1 species
GGAGGUGUGCCAGAGAGGACGAAUGGGCCUGGCCGUAAACCAGGAGCGAAAGCCACGGGGGUUCAAAUCCCUCCGCCUCCACCA